AUGGCUUCGUGAAAGUAUAUAUGAGGUUUAACCUGCUCACUGAUAGAUUAAAGAGCUGCAGUAUUUUGACUGUACAAAGGUAGCAUAAUCAUUAGUCCUUUAAUUGUGGACUUGUAUGAAAGGUUAGACAAAUAAAAUUUGUUUCUGGUAUAUAAUAAUGAAAUUGGCCUCUCUGUCAAAAGACAAAGAUAAACCUAAAAGACGAGAAGACCCUUUCAAAUUUUAUAUUAUUAUUUUUAUUGGUUAAUAUAAAGUGAACGGAAUUAAAUAAAAAAUUUUACUGGGGCGGUAGAUAAAUAACACUAUAAGUAAUAAAUGGAAAAUAAGAAGAUAUUGUUGUGAUCCUUUAAGGAUUAAUAAAAUAAAUUACUGAAGGGAUAACAGCGUAAUGUAUUUUGAAAGUUCUUAUUGACGAAUAUGUUUGCGA
rnacentral:rRNA from 1 species